rnacentral:snRNA from 1 species
GAGCUCGCUUCGGCGGCGCACACACUACGAUUGGAAGGACACAGAGAUUAGCAUGGCCCAUGUGCAAAGAUACACACAAAUUCAUGAAGUGCUUCACAUUUUU